AAGCACUGCCUUUGAACCUGAUGUGUCUUAUUUGUAGCUUCACAGGCCAAGCAGUAGUGCUAGAGCAUAACAACUUCAGCUCUCUUCAGCUCUUCAGCUGAACUGCUCUUUUAAAAACCAGAUACAUUU